CCUUCGGUUGAUCCCGCCGGACCUGACUGCUAUCGGAUUGAUACUAUGCCAUGCGAGUCUUUGCAGUAACGCAAGGCGGACUGCUCAGAAACACGUAGUCAACUUAACCUAUGGAUGGGUAUAACCUCGGGAAACUGAGAAUAAUUCCCAAUAGAUCAUUUAUCCUGGAAUGGUUGAUGAUUGAAAUGAUUCGUCGCCAUAGGAUGGGACUGCGGCCUAUCAGCUUGUUGGUGAGGUAAAGGCCCACCAUGGCUAUUACAGGUACGGGCUCUGAGAGGAGAAGCCCGGAGAUGGGUUCUGAGACACGGACCCAGGCCCUAUGGGGCGCAGCAGGCGAGAAAACUUUGCAAUGUGCGAAAGCACGACAAGGUUAAUCCGAGUGAUUUCUGCUAAAGAAAUCUUUUGCCAGUUCUAAAAAUACUGGUGAAUAAGGGGUGGGCAAGUUCUGGUGUCAGCCGCCGCGGUAAAACCAGCACCUCAAGUUGUCAGGAGGGUUAUUGGGCCUAAAGCAUCCGUAGCCGGCUCUGUGAGUUUUCGGUUAAAUCCAUAUGCUCAACAUAUGAGCUGUCGGAAAUACUGCGGAGCUAGGGAAUGGGAGAGGUAGACGGUACUCGGUAGGAAGGGGUAAAAUCCUUUGAUCUAUCGAUGACCAUCUGUGGCGAAGGCGGUCUACCAGAACAUGUUCGACGGUGAGGGAUGAAAGCUGGGGGAGCAAACCGGAUUAGAUACCCGGGUAGUCCCAGCUGUAAACGAUGCAGACUAGAUGAUGCAUUAGCAUAUAGCUAGUGCAGUGUCUCAGGGAAGCCGUUAAGUCUGCCGCCUGGGAAGUACGUA
rnacentral:rRNA from 1 species